UCGCCAGACUCCUACGGGAGGCAGCAGUGAGGAAUAUUGGUCAAUGGCCGAGAGGCUGAGCCAGCCAAGUCGCGUGAGGGAUGACGGCCCUACGGGUUGUAAACCUCUUUUGCCGGGGAGCAAAGAGCGGGACGCGUCCCGCCUCGAGAGUACCCGGAGAAAAAGCAUCGGCUAACUCCGUGCCAGCAGCCGCGGUAAUACGGAGGAUGCGAGCGUUAUCCGGAUUCAUUGGGUUUAAAGGGAGCGUAGGUGGAUUGUUAAGUCAGUUGUGAAAGUUUGCGGCUCAACCGUAAAAUUGCAGUUGAAACUGGCAGUCUUGAGUACAGUAGAGGUGGGCGGAAUUCGUGGUGUAGCGGUGAAAUGCUUAGAUAUCACGAAGAACUCCGAUUGCGAAGGCAGCUCACUGGACUGCAACUGACACUGAGGCUCGAAAGUGUGGGUAUCAAACAGGAUUAGAUACCCGCGUACC
rnacentral:rRNA from 1 species